GUGGGAUCCAAACUGGGGCCCUCUGGCGUCCCAAGCUAGCUCUUAACCAUCGCGCCACUCGGCCGGCCCCAGGACUCCUGUGCCUUGAUUUCCAUGAUCUCAGUGCUCUGCUUGUUUCUCUAGUUUCAGUGGUAGAGUCAAGGGGUGCUUCCACCCCUCCCCUCUUCCCACUGGAUUGCCACUCUAAGCCCCUCAUCUAGGAAUUCCAGGGCUACCACUGGUUUGUUCUUGUUUGACUUCUCACUAAUCCCCACCCCCCACCCUGUUUUAAAAGAUCUUUGUGUUUUUCUAGAGACCUAUUGAGUAACUUGAAGGACCUACUAAUGGUGAAAUUUUAGGUGUCAGAAUUAAGUGCAGAGCCCACUUGUUUCCCGAGAAGAGAGGGUCUGCUGCUGCUGUGCCCAGAGCCCUCACUAGAGGGUUUAACCGAAGUAAGUACUGAUUGCAGAGAUUAUGGACAACCAUGAAAAUUUACUCGUUGAAUUUGCAUGAAAAAAAUCCUCUGUCAUUCCUACAGUGGUCUCUUAGGACCCUUUAGGUCCCUGGGCUGACAGGCUGAGAUGCAUUUUGGGUAGUAGAUUUGCUUAGAUAUGAAAACAAACUUUAUCACCCAGGAGGACCCGGAGAUGCUGGUGGGUCAGGCUUGGGACCAGGGACACAGGGCCGUUUCGGCUAGACCCAUAGUUUGGAUGAAGGGGGGUACUUCUCCAAAGGAGGCCUCUAACAGCCAAGACGGGAAGUUAUAAAUGGGGUGAGGUGGCGGAAGAAGUGGGAAGGGAUCUGUUGGAUCAAAGCCAACUUCACACCAGUGGAAAUAUUUAUUAGCUCAUUAAUUAUAGGAUGCCGCAGGAUUGGCUUUGCCUCUGGGUGUGUGGGCAGUAACCUAUGCUUUAAACAAACAGCCCCAUCACUCAAUAAUAAUUAGCAGCAACAAUGGUCAUCUUCAGAGGACCAGAUUGACAGGUGACCCACAACACACAGCCUCAAGCCUGACCUGGAACUGGGCUUGAUGCCACACCUGUGGAGCCAGCCAGCCCAUCCUCAGGCAGCCUACAGGGCCACAGGCGCAGAAAUGACACCUUCGUACUUGGGCCAUUUGCUGAGAACUUGCUGUGUACUGGGCAUUGAGAGGAACACAAAGGAAAUGCAAAGCACGGACUGUACCCGCAGUCUAGAGAAUUGAGGAGACAAGAUUAGGUUUGAAAAAUGAAACAGCAGCACAAGAGAUAUAUAUGUCACAUAUAAGAGAUGGGGAUGCUCAGAGCAAACAGGAGUUCUGAACAGGGUUCCCCACCAGGUGGUCUGCAUCAUACCUCUGUGUUCCUUGUCAAAGAAGUAGGAAACACGAAGAAGAAAAAAAAAUCACACUAACACUUGUCAGAGAUACAUAUUGUUCCUAUUUUGGUUACAUCCUUUAAGAUCUCUUUCUCUGUUCAUACUAUGGAUCUCUCUAUAUACACAUAUACACAUUUUAUCACAUAAAUGGAUUCAUAUUAUACCUAUUGUUCUGUGACUUGUUCUUUAUACUUAGUAAUAAAUUGCGAACAGUUUUCCUUGAGAAACUUCUUAUGUAUCUCUUGUAUUUUACUGUGUACUUACUACCAUGAUUUUAACUAGCCCCUUAUUAUUGCCUCUUUCUGUCACUAACACUUGUGGCCUGUAUAUAAUACUCUGUGCACAUCCUUAUUUUUAUUUCUAGGAUAUAGUUUUUAAGUAGAAUUGCUAGA